UUUCCGUAGGUGAACCUGCGGAAGGAUCAUUAAUUAUAUAAGGCCACGGGGCAAGCUUUCCGAAAGGAUCGAGCUUGCUGUGUGAACCCUACCUACCCUUGCUUUUUGCGUACCCAUUGUUUCCUCGGCAGGCUUGCCUGCCAGUAGGACCCUCUUAAACCCUUUGUAAUUGCAGUCAGCGUCAGAAACAACGUAAUCGUUACAACUUUCAACAACGGAUCUCUUGGUUCUG
rnacentral:misc_RNA from 1 species